rnacentral:rRNA from 1 species
UGAAGAGUUUGAUCAUGGCUCAGAUUGAACGCUGGCGGCAGGCCUAACACAUGCAAGUCGAACGGUAACAGGAAGCAGCUUGCUGCUUUGCUGACGAGUGGCGGACGGGUGAGUAAUGUCUGGGAAACUGCCUGAUGGAGGGGGAUAACUACUGGAAACGGUGGCUAAUACCGCAUAACGUCGCAAGACCAAAGAGGGGGACCUUCGGGCCUCUUGCCAUCAGAUGUGCCCAGAUGGGAUUAGCUUGUUGGUGAGGUAACGGCUCACCAAGGCGACGAUCCCUAGCUGGUCUGAGAGGAUGACCAGCCACACUGGAACUGAGACACGGUCCAGACUCCUACGGGAGGCAGCAGUGGGGAAUAUUGCACAAUGGGCGCAAGCCUGAUGCAGCCAUGCCGCGUGUAUGAAGAAGGCCUUCGGGUUGUAAAGUACUUUCAGCGGGGAGGAAGGUGUUGUGGUUAAUAACCACAGCAAUUGACGUUACCCGCAGAAGAAGCACCGGCUAACUCCGUGCCAGCAGCCGCGGUAAUACGGAGGGUGCAAGCGUUAAUCGGAAUUACUGGGCGUAAAGCGCACGCAGGCGGUCUGUCAAGUCGGAUGUGAAAUCCCCGGGCUCAACCUGGGAACUGCAUUCGAAACUGGCAGGCUUGAGUCUUGUAGAGGGGGGUAGAAUUCCAGGUGUAGCGGUGAAAUGCGUAGAGAUCUGGAGGAAUACCGGUGGCGAAGGCGGCCCCCUGGACAAAGACUGACGCUCAGGUGCGAAAGCGUGGGGAGCAAACAGGAUUAGAUACCCUGGUAGUCCACGCCGUAAACGAUGUCUACUUGGAGGUUGUGCCCUUGAGGCGUGGCUUCCGGAGCUAACGCGUUAAGUAGACCGCCUGGGGAGUACGGCCGCAAGGUUAAAACUCAAAUGAAUUGACGGGGGCCCGCACAAGCGGUGGAGCAUGUGGUUUAAUUCGAUGCAACGCGAAGAACCUUACCUGGUCUUGACAUCCACAGAACUUUCCAGAGAUGGAUUGGUGCCUUCGGGAACUGUGAGACAGGUGCUGCAUGGCUGUCGUCAGCUCGUGUUGUGAAAUGUUGGGUUAAGUCCCGCAACGAGCGCAACCCUUAUCCUUUGUUGCCAGCGGUCCGGCCGGGAACUCAAAGGAGACUGCCAGUGAUAAACUGGAGGAAGGUGGGGAUGACGUCAAGUCAUCAUGGCCCUUACGACCAGGGCUACACACGUGCUACAAUGGCGCAUACAAAGAGAAGCGACCUCGCGAGAGCAAGCGGACCUCAUAAAGUGCGUCGUAGUCCGGAUUGGAGUCUGCAACUCGACUCCAUGAAGUCGGAAUCGCUAGUAAUCGUGGAUCAGAAUGCCACGGUGAAUACGUUCCCGGGCCUUGUACACACCGCCCGUCACACCAUGGGAGUGGGUUGCAAAAGAAGUAGGUAGCUUAACCUUCGGGAGGGCGCUUACCACUUUGUGAUUCAUGACUGGGGUGAAGUCGUAACAAGGUAACCGUAGGGGAACCUGCGGUUGGAUCACCUCCUUACCUGAAAGAAGC